rnacentral:rRNA from 1 species
UACGUAGGGGGCAAGCGUUGUCCGGAAUUAUUGGGCGUAAAGAGCGCGUAGGCGGUCCGGUAAGUCGGUUGUGAAAGUCGGGGGGCUCAACCCUCGGAUGCCGAUCGAUACUGUCGGGCUAGAGUCCGGAAGAGGCGAGUGGAAUUCCUGGUGUAGCGGUGAAAUGCGCAGAUAUCAAGAGGAACACCUGAGGUGAAGACGGGUUGCUGGGCUGACACUGACGCUGAGGCGCGAAAGCUAGGGUAGCAAACGGG